rnacentral:lncRNA from 1 species
UAAUCUCGGUGCAAAGUGAUGCUUUGGUCAGAAAUCAUUUUGUGACUUUAAAGAAUUUGAUGAGUUAGGUCAGAGUGCGCAGCGGAAGUGUAGUGGUUUGAGUUAUUUUGAAACCGAUUAGAAAAAAAAAUAAUAAUGAUAAUACCUUGAUCUGAAGGGUAUUAUUAUAGAAGACUUGAGUUAGUUUUCUAGUAGAGGGGAAUGUCGUUGAUUCUUUGCCUACUGGAAGUAGUUAUGGGCUCUCCUAUUUUUGAUAAUUCUAAGAAGAAUUUUGGGGCAUCUCAAAUUUAACGUUAACGG